UACGUAGGGACCGAGCGUUGUCCGGAUUCAUUGGGCGUAAAGAGCUCGUAGGCGGUUUGUCGCGUCUGCUGUGAAAUCCUCAGGCUCAACCUGGGGCGUGCAGUGGGUACGGGCGGGCUAGAGUGCGGUAGGGGUGACUGGAAUUCCUGGUGUAGCGGUGGAAUGCGCAGAUAUCAGGAGGAACACCGAUGGCGAAGGCAGGUCACUGGGCCGCAACUGACGCUGAGGAGCGAAAGCAUGGGAGCGAACAGG
rnacentral:rRNA from 1 species